UGCCGAUGCCCCGGUGGAGAAGCUGAGGUCAACAUCAGAUUUGAAAUAUUUAAAGUGGAUACAAAACUAUUUCAACAAUGCAGACAAUUAAGUGUGUUGUUGUGGGCGAUGGUGCUGUUAGUAAAACAUGUCUCCUGAUAUCCUACACAACAAAUAAAUUUCCAUCAGAAUAUGUACCAACUGUUUUUGACAAUUAUGCAGUCAGUUAUGAUUGGUGGAGAACCAUAUACUCUUGGGCUUUUUGAUACUGCAGAGCAAGAGCAUUAUGACAGAUUACUACUACUGAGUUAUCCACAGACAGAUGUAUUUCUAGUCUGUUUUUCAGUGGUCUCUCCACCUUCAUUUGAAAAUGUGAAAGAAAAGUGGGUUCCUGAGAUAACUCACCACUGUCCAAAGCCUCCUUUCUUGCUUGCUGGGACCCAAACUAAUCUCAGAGAUGACCCCUCUAUUAUUGAGAAACUUUCCAAGAACAAACAGAAGCCUGUCACUCCAGAGACUGCUGAAAAGCUGGUCCAUGACCUGAAGGCUGUAAGGUAUGUGGAGUGUUCCGCACUCACACAGAAAGGCCUAAAGAAUGUAUUUGACGAAGCAAUAUUGGCUGCCAUGGAGCCUCCAGAAUUGAAGAAGAGCCGCAGGUGUGUGCUGCUAUGAACAUCUCUCCAGAGCCCUUUCUGCACAACUAGUGUCGGCAUCAUACUAAAAGCAGUGUUUAAAUCAAACUAAAGAUUAAAAAUUAAAAUUCAUUUUUGGAAUAAUGACAAAUGCCCUGCACCUACCCACAUGCACUCAUGUGAGACAAGGCCCAUAGGCAUGGCCCUUCCCCCUCCCAGGACUAGUUAAUUUUGAGUUAUUGUGUAUUGUCAGAAAAGUGAUUAGUACUAGUUUUUGUUUUGUUUCAAAAAAUUU